ACAUAGAGGUGAAUGGAACGUGUGAAUGUGGAGCUCAAAGCGUCAGGCUGGCAUCUGCCAGGCCUAGAUAGUGCCCUCUCCCUCUUUUCUCCGCCUCUUUUUCCUUUUUAGGUUUGUCAGCAGUGCAGUUGCAGCAGCAGGUGUCUCUCAUUGACAAUCAUCAUCAGCUGGUGCAGGAGCAGGUGGAGAUCUGCCAAUCAAGCUCCACUCUCGCCACAAUAUAACCAGACGACACUCACCUCUCAGCGCCGGAUCGUGACACAGCCAGUACAGAGUUCUGAAUGUUACUCCAGCCACAGUUCAGUGUUCUCGUUCUCCUGGUAACUCUGUUUGUCCUCCUUUGUUUCAGUCCUGGUUCCACCUGCUCCUGCUUCGAUUCAUCCUGGUUUCUCGUCACCUCCAGUAUCCUGUUCUGUUCAGCGUUCUGGAAAUACUCACCUGUGCCGUUUUCCUCCAUCCUGGCGUCCAUCCACAUUCACCUGUCGCUGCAACUCGCCAUUCAUCGUCCUGACUCAAACCCAUCCGUCUAGAUCAGACCUGGGCAUCCUACGGUCCGCGGGCCACAUCCGGCCCGCCGGACGACCCUGACUGGCCCGUAUGAGGUCACUGGAAAAUAUUAAAAGUAGUGAUGGGACGAACAACACUGGUGCGUCAGCACUGUGCCGAGCACACAAGAGUGAAACCCCCGUAUGGUGCGUGUAUCGCUUUAAGAAAAAAUCAUGUGACCGAUACAGAAAGUGUGUCGAUUGGAUGUGCUGCGCCAAAUUGUGUUUAAAAGGAAACAAACUGUAUUGACAUGUAUUGUUGCUGUGUCUGUUUGCCCUCACCUUGUUCAACUUCUGACUUCAUGGAUCGUUCCAAUAAGAAGAAGUUUUCCCCAGUCUGGAAUCAUUUUGAUCUUUUGACGGCAAAUAAGGUGAAGUGUCGGCUCUGCUCCACAGAGCUAUCUUACAUCAAUAAGAGCACUUCAUCAAUGCUGAGGCAUUAUAGAGCUCGGCAUGGCAAUGAAGAAUUGGCAGACACUUGUGUGGGUACCCCAGUUCCUAACAAGCAAGCAGUGGAUGAGGCUGUGGUCAACAUGAUCAUCAAAGACUGAAAACACAUAUUUUUGUGUUUGUUUGUAUAUUUCUGUUGCAGUUUGUCAUGUGAUAAUAAACUAACAACUAACAAAGAAUUAUUUCUAAAAUAUUUGUUAGGGCACAAUCUCUGGAAACCUCUGGAUCUGGAGGUUGAGGAGAACAACUCGACCUCGAAUACUACAGCUGGUUCCAUAGUUGAAGUCCAACGCUACCUGGCUGAAACCAACACACCCAGAGCACAAGAUCCAUUACAAUAUUGGAAAAAUAACCAGAAAACAUAUCCACACCUGUAUCAACUCGCACUUAAAUUUUUAUGCACACCAUCCUCAUCUGUACCCUGUGAGAGAGUUUUUUUCUAAGGCAGGGGAACUGGUGUCCAAGAAGAGAAAUCGUCUUGGAGCAAACAAACUUUUGUUCCUCAA